GACGAACGCUGGCGGCGUGCCUAAUACAUGCAAGUCGAGCGCAGGAAACUGACGGAACUCUUCGGAGGGAAGGCAGUGGAAUGAGCGGUGGACGGGUGAGUAACACGUAAGGAACCUGCCUCAAGGAUUGGGAUAACUCCGAGAAAUCGGAGCUAAUACCGGAUAGUUCAACGGACCGCAUGGUCCGUUGAUGAAAGGCGCUCCGGCGUCACCUUGAGAUGGCCUUGCGGUGCAUUAGCUAGUUGGUGGGGUAACGGCUCACCAAGGCGACGAUGCAUAGCCGACCUGGGAGGGUGAUCGGCCACACUGGGGCUGAGACACGGCCCAGACUCCUACGGGAGGCAGCAGUAGGGAAUCUUCCACAAUGGACGAAAGUCUGAUGGAGCAACGCCGCGUGAGUGAUGAAGGUUUUCGGAUCGUAAAACUCUGUUGUAAGGGAAGAACACGUACGAGAGGAAAUGCUCGUACCUUGACGGUACCUUACGAGAAAGCCACGGCUAACUACGUGCCAGCAGCCGCGGUAA
rnacentral:rRNA from 1 species